rnacentral:rRNA from 1 species
GACGAACGUUGGCGGCGUGCUUAACACAUGCAAGUCGAACGGAAAGGCCCUGCUUUUGUGGGGUGCUCGAGUGGCGAACGGGUGAGUAACACGUGAGUAACCUGCCCUUGACUUUGGGAUAACUUCAGGAAACUGGGGCUAAUACCGGAUAGGAGCUCCUGCUGCAUGGUGGGGGUUGGAAAGUUUCGGCGGUUGGGGAUGGACUCGCGGCUUAUCAGCUUGUUGGUGGGGUAGUGGCUUACCAAGGCUUUGACGGGUAGCCGGCCUGAGAGGGUGACCGGCCACAUUGGGACUGAGAUACGGCCCAGACUCCUACGGGAGGCAGCAGUGGGGAAUAUUGCACAAUGGGCGGAAGCCUGAUGCAGCAACGCCGCGUGCGGGAUGACGGCCUUCGGGUUGUAAACCGCUUUCGCCUGUGACGAAGCGUGAGUGACGGUAAUGGGUAAAGAAGCACCGGCUAACUACGUGCCAGCAGCCGCGGUGAUACGUAGGGUGCGAGCGUUGUCCGGAUUUACUGGGCGUAAAGGGCUCGUAGGUGGUUGAUCGCGUCGGAAGUGUAAUCUUGGGGCUUAACCCUGAGCGUGCUUUCGAUACGGGUUGACUUGAGGAAGGUAGGGGAGAAUGGAAUUCCUGGUGGAGCGGUGGAAUGCGCAGAUAUCAGGAGGAACACCAGUGGCGAAGGCGGUUCUCUGGGCCUUUCCUGACGCUGAGGAGCGAAAGCGUGGGGAGCGAACAGGCUUAGAUACCCUGGUAGUCCACGCUGUAAACGGUGGGUACUAGGUGUGGGGUCCAUUCCACGGGUUCCGUGCCGUAGCUAACGCUUUAAGUACCCCGCCUGGGGAGUACGGCUGCAAGGCUAAAACUCAAAGGAAUUGACGGGGCCCCGCACAAGCGGCGGAGCAUGCGGAUUAAUUCGAUGCAACGCGUAGAACCUUACCUGGGUUUGACAUGGAUCGGGAGUGCCCAGAGAUGGGUGUGCCUCUUUUGGGGUCGGUUCACAGGUGGUGCAUGCCUGUCGUCAGCUCGUGUCGUGAGAUGUUGGGUUAAGUCCCGCAACGAGCGCAACCCUUGUUCACUGUUGCCAGCACGUUAUGGUGGGGACUCAGUGGAGACCGCCGGGGUCAACUCGGAGGAAGGUGGGGAUGACGUCAAGUCAUCAUGCCCCUUAUGUCCAGGGCUUCACGCAUGCUACAAUGGCUGGUACAGAGAGUGGCGAGCCUGUGAGGGUGAGCGAAUCUCGGAAAGCCGGUCUCAGUUCGGAUUGGGGUCUGCAACUCGACCUCAUGAAGUCGGAGUCGCUAGUAAUCGCAGAUCAGCAACGCUGCGGUGAAUACGUUCCCGGG